CCUGAUACUAGACCUCCAGACUUUCCUAUCAAGGGUCAUGUCCUCGGAAACCCGUGUUCUAGCCAUGUCAUGCCUAAUUACCUCUCCCCAAUACUUCUUAGGCCUCCCGCUGCCUCGCCGAACGCCGCCAAUCGCCAGCCGCUCACAACUCCUCACCGGGGCAUCAGGACUUCUCCUCCACACAUGUCCGAACCACCUCAGCCUCGCUUCUCGCAUCUUCUCAUCCACCGGGGCCACCCCCACCUUCUCUCGAAUAACUUCAUUCUUAAUUUUAUCUAN
rnacentral:lncRNA from 1 species